AUUUAGAUAGUUUAUGUUAUAAAAUUUAAUAUUGAAGCUAUUAAGAAAAUUUAUAUUUCUAAAUA
rnacentral:tRNA from 1 species